rnacentral:rRNA from 1 species
CCUACGGGAGGCAGCAGUGAGGAAUAUUGGUCAAUGGGCGCGAGCCUGAACCAGCCAAGCAGCGUGAAGGAUGACUGCCCUACGGGUUGUAACCUCCUUUUAUAAAGGAAUAGAUUGAGGCACGUGUGCCGUUUUGUAUGUACUUUAUGAAUCCGGUACGGCUAACUCCGUGCCAGCAGCCGCGGUAAUACGGAGGGACCGAGCGUUAUCCGGAUUUAUUGGGUUUAAAGGGAGCGUAGAUGGGUUGUUAAGUCAGUUGUGAAAGUUUGGGGCUAAACCGUAAAAUUGCAAUUGAUACUGGCAGCCUUGAGUACAGUUGAGGUAGGCGGAAUUCGUGGUGUAGCGGUGAAAUGCUUAGAUAUCACGAAGAACUCCGAUUGCGAAGGCAGCCUACUAAACUGCCACUGACAUUGAUGCUCGAAAGUGUGGGUAUCAAACAGGAUUAGAUACCCCUGUAGUC